CGGAGGGGCUAGCGUUGUUCGGAAUUACUGGGGCGUAAAGCGUACGUAGGCGGCUUUGUAAGUUAGAGGUGAAAGCCCAGAGCUCAACUCUGGAAUUGCCUUUAAGACUGCAUCGCUUGAAUCGUGGAGAGGUUAGUGGAAUUCCGAGUGUAGAGGUGAAAUUCGUAGAUAUUCGGAAGAACACCAGUGGCGAAGGCGACUAACUGGACACGUAUUGACGCUGAGGUACGAAAGCGUGGGGAGCAAACAGGAUU
rnacentral:rRNA from 1 species